UACGAAGGGGGGCUAGCGUUGCUCGGAAUCACUGGGCGUAAAGGGUGCGUAGGCGGGUCUUUAAGUCAGGGGUGAAAUCCCGGAGCUCAACUCCGGAACUGCCUUUGAUACUGGGGAUCUUGAGUCCGGGAGAGGUGAGUGGAACUGCGAGUGUAGAGGUGAAAUGCGUAGAUAUCGGGAGGAACACCUGUGGCGAAAGCGGCUCACUGGACCAUAACUGACGCUGAUGCACGAAAGCUGGGGGAGCAAACAGG
rnacentral:rRNA from 1 species